UCCCUGACAGUCCAGUGGUUAGGACUUGGUGCUUUCACUGUAAGGGCCUGGGUUCAAUCCCUGGUCAGGGAA
rnacentral:tRNA from 1 species